rnacentral:rRNA from 1 species
AUUGAACGCUGGCGGCAUGCCUAACACAUGCAAGUCGAACGGCAGCACGGGAGCUUGCUCCUGGUGGCGAGUGGCGGACGGGUGAGUAAUGCAUAGGAAUCUGCCCAGUAGCGGGGGACAACUUGGGGAAACUCAAGCUAAUACCGCAUACGCCCUACGGGGAAAGGCGGGGGACCUUCGGGCCUCGCACUAUUGGAUGAGCCUAUGUCAGAUUAGCUUGUUGGUGGGGUAAGUGGCCUACCAAGGCAACGAUCUCUAGCUGGUCUGAGAGGACGAUCAGCCACACUGGGACUGAGACACGGCCCAGACUCCUACGGGAGGCAGCAGUGGGGAAUAUUGGACAAUGGGCGAAAGCCUGAUCCAGCAAUGCCGCGUGUGUGAAGAAGGCCUGAGGGUUGUAAAGCACUUUCAAUCGUGAAGAAAAGUUGCAGGCUAAUACCCUGUGACCUUGACGUUAACGAUACAAGAAGCACCGGCUAACUCCG